UACGUAGGGUCCGAGCGUUGUCCGGAAUUAUUGGGCGUAAAGAGCUCGUAGGCGGUUUGUCGCGUCUGCUGUGAAAUCCCGAGGCUCAACCUCGGGUCUGCAGUGGGUACGGGCAGACUGGAGUGCGGUAGGGGAGAAUGGAAUUCCUGGUGUAGCGGUGGAAUGCGCAGAUAUCAGGAGGAACACCGGUGGCGAAGGCGGAUCUCUGGGCCAUUACUGACGCUGAGGAGCGAAAGCGUGGGGAGCGAACAGG
rnacentral:rRNA from 1 species